GACGAACGCUGGCGGCGUGCCUAAUACAUGCAAGUUGAGCGCUGAAGGUUGGUACUUGUACCAACUGGAUGAGCAGCGAACGGGUGAGUAACGCGUGGGGAAUCUGCCUUUGAGCGGGGGACAACAUUUGGAAACGAAUGCUAAUACCGCAUAAAAACUUUAAACACAAGUUUUAAGUUUGAAAGAUGCAAUUGCAUCACUCAAAGAUGAUCCCGCGUUGUAUUAGCUAGUUGGUGAGGUAAAGGCUCACCAAGGCGAUGAUACAUAGCCGACCUGAGAGGGUGAGCGGCCACAUUGGGACUGAGACACGGCCCAAACUCCUACGGGAGGCAGCAGUAGGGAAUCGUCGGCAAUAGACGAAAGUCUGACCGAGCAACGCCGCGUGAGUGAAGAAGGGUGUCGGAUCGUAAAACUCUGUUGGUAGAGAAGAACGUUGGUGAGAGUGGAAAGCUCAUCAAGUGACGGUAACUACCCAGAAAGGGACGGCUAACUACGUG
rnacentral:rRNA from 1 species